rnacentral:rRNA from 1 species
UACGUAGGCAGCAAGCGUUGUUCGGAGUUACUGGGCGUAAAGGGUGCGUAGGCGGCUUCUUAAGUCUGGUGUGAAAUCUCCCGGCUCAACUGGGAGGGUGCGCCGGAUACUGAGGGGCUAGAGUGUGGGAGAGGAAAGUGGAAUUCCUGGUGUAGCGGUGAAAUGCGUAGAUAUCAGGAGGAACACCAAUGGCGAAGGCAGCACUCUGGGACGGUACUGACGCUGAGACGCGAAAGCGUGGGGAGCAAACAGG